CCUACGGGUGGCAGCAGUGAGGAAUAUUGGUCAAUGGCCGAGAGGCUGAACCAGCCAAGUCGCGUGAGGGAAGACGGCCCUACGGGUUGUAAACCUCUUUUGUCGGGGAGCAAAGCGAGUCACGUGUGACUCAUUGAAAGUACCCGAAGAAAAAGCAUCGGCUAACUCCGUGCCAGCAGCCGCGGUAAGACGGGGGAUGCGAGCGUUAUCCGGAUUUAUUGGGUUGAAAGGGUGCGCAGGAGGAGGUGCAAGGCAGGGGUCAAAUUGCGGGGCUCAACCCCGUACUGCCGUUGAAACUGCAUGCCUUGAGUGCGCGAGAAGUAUGCGGAAUGCGUGGUGUAGCGGUGAAAUGCAUAGAUAUCACGCAGAACUCCGAUUGCGAAGGCAGCAUACCGGCGCGCAACUGACGCUCAUGCACGAAAGCGUGGGUAUCGAACAGGAUUAGAUACCCGAGUAGUC
rnacentral:rRNA from 1 species